CCUUCGAUAGCUCAGUUGGUAGAGCGGUGGACUGUAGUUGAUCUUGCGAAGUGGUAGAUAUCCAUAGGUCGCUGGUUCAAAUCCGGCUCGAAGGA
rfam:Oryctes borbonicus contig20788, whole genome shotgun sequence.